UCAAGAUCGGUGUAAAGAAAAACAAGAAGAAAUCCAGGAAAUGGAGAAUAUUAGAUUGUGACCAGAAGUUUCCUUUUUAGCAGUGGAAGCACUGUACAGAAAGGAUGGAAGUAAGCGGAAUGUUUGGAGGUCACCAUCAAGAAUUAUGGCUUGUCUUCAGCAGGGACAUUGCCCUCUGCAGAAUACAGCAGAUAAAGGACCAGAGGACAGAGAAUGGAAUGGGCUUUCUGAGGAACUGCUGCAGCACACUUGACUUGUCUACAUACGCUUUCUUAAGCAUUUGGUGUUUGGCUUUUCAUACAACCUUGAACAAAUAUAUUUUAUGAAGACUGAAAUAAUAACAUCUGGUGUGCAAGUACAACAUUUUGUGACCAGAUAUUAGAAAGAACUGUACAGAAAGAGAGAGAACAACAUACUGGCAAGUGUUUUCAAGUACUGCUACUCUUCAGAACCCUCAGGAUUGGUUCCCCACAGCCUGGAAAGUUGGAACCUUAGGGCUGUUAUCCUUGCUCUCACUGCUUCAGCCUCGUGGAGAAGGUCUCCAGCAGCAGCACUUGGAGACCAGCAGAAGGCAGAAACAGGAGGAGCUAGAGAAAGCAUGGGAUAAAAUUAGCAGAGGUACCAGCAGCAAAACUUCUCUGUGCCUCUGCUGGCACUUGCACAGGAUGAGCCUCUCAAAGGACUUCAUGAUACCCUGCUGAGUUCACCUGGUGGACUUUUGAAAAUUUAACUUAGUUUGACUAGAGGCUCUGAGAAUUGGUUCACAAAAGUAUUUCUUCUUUCCCUAUUCCCUUUUCCUUUCUCCAUUUUCCCUUUUCCUUUUUCCCUACCCUUCCAUUAUUUCUUUCCUUCCAUUCAAGCCACCACAGGGACAGAUAGGGCGCCAGAAGGCUUGAGCUGCCUUGCUGUAAAGCUCACCUUUGACUUCAGCUCCACUUUUGGCUGCAGGGCACUCCUGAUAAACUCACUGCACACCAGCACCUGGCCUCUCAUGUGGGCAAUAGAAUCGCAGGAUGGCUGGUUUGGAAGCACUAAAGUUGUUUACAAAACCUCCUGCUUAUCUCUGCUGGUCUUUGUAGUCGAUUACACUUAAAUGGGUCUGACUGGUUACACCAGCACCAAACUGUUUCUGGCUGUUUGAGUCCAAAUAAAAUAGACAGCAGGCAUAAGGCAUUUUUUCUCAGAAAAUAAUACACAAUUAAAAAGAAAAAAAGAAAGCUGAAUAAUCUAGAAGUGAUGUCUCAAUUUUGAAAUGUGAUGAAGAAUGACAAAAUAAUCUGGAAAGAAUUCAGGAAAGAUAUGCUCAAGUUAAAAGUAAAGUAUCAUGCAGUGUUUUAAGACUAACCUCAGGGUUCCUUGAGUAAAAGGUAGGGGUAUUUAUCAAAGAGAGAUUUCACUUUAUUUUGGAUGUGAUUUGAUUCUCUGGCUUUGCUGUAACACAUAAAAGGCAACUUUCUGUUUCGACCACAAAGGCCACGAGGUGUGACUGGAGGCAACAGCUCAUUCCUUUGAUUUCAGGGAAUUGAGUCAAGGGAUUUAAUCCACUCCUUAAAGGUGUUCAGGAAUAGUUUAUGCCACCUGAGGUUGUGCUCGUUCCCAGCUGGUGCAACAAACAAAGGAUGUACCUCCUCUUACAGAUUUCUUCACUUAGAUGAAAGUCAUAGGGUGUUUAUACAUAGAAUUACUGAUCCUUCUCAUUAAACAUAGUUUUUGCUUACAUCACUACAGAAUUCCUGUUUUUGUUAUCAAAGUCUUUUUAUUCCUAGAAUCAGCAGCGAAGCUUUCCCUUUGUAUUCGUUUCUAGAGAAGUCAGGGAUGUACAGGGUACUGGUAUUGGCAUAGCAGAUAUUCCUAUUUAUAUUUAUAUACUUUUACAUAUAUAUAUAUUUGUAUUUGUAUAUUGUGGUAAAUCAUCAGUGGUGAAAGAAUAUUUUUGGGGAAGCCUUGAUAUUGGGGAGCCACUUCAUCUCCUGUUUCUAUGU